UACGUAGGUGACAAGCGUUGUCCGGAUUUACUGGGCGUAAAGAGCGCGCAGGCGGUCGUUCAAGUCGAGUGUGAAAGCCCCCGGCUCAACUGGGGAGGGUCACUCGAUACUGAUCGACUCGAAGGCAGGAGAGGGAAGUGGAAUUCCCGGUGUAGUGGUGAAAUGCGUAGAUAUCGGGAGGAACACCAGUGGCGAAGGCGGGUCUCUGGACAGUUCCUGACACUGAGACACGAAGGCCAGGGGAGCAAACGGG
rnacentral:rRNA from 1 species